rnacentral:tRNA from 1 species
GCUUUCGUAGUUUAUAAAAAUAUUGGUCUUGUAAGCCAAAGUAGGCUUAGGUCCUGAAGCA